rnacentral:rRNA from 2 species
AUACAUGCAAGUCGAACGAGUUCUGAUUAUUGAAAGGUGCUUGCAUCUUGAUUUAAUUUUGAACGAGUGGCGGACGGGUGAGUAACACGUGGGUAACCUGCCCUUAAGUGGGGGAUAACAUUUGGAAACAGAUGCUAAUACCGCAUAAAUCCAAGAACCGCAUGGUUCUUGGCUGAAAGAUGGCGUAAGCUAUCGCUUUUGGAUGGACCCGCGGCGUAUUAGCUAGUUGGUGAGGUAACGGCUCACCAAGGCAAUGAUACGUAGCCGAACUGAGAGGUUGAUCGGCCACAUUGGGACUGAGACACGGCCCAAACUCCUACGGGAGGCAGCAGUAGGGAAUCUUCCACAAUGGACGCAAGUCUGAUGGAGCAACGCCGCGUGAGUGAAGAAGGCUUUCGGGUCGUAAAACUCUGUUGUUGGAGAAGAAUGGUCGGCAGAGUAACUGUUGUCGGCGUGACGGUAUCCAACCAGAAAGCCACGGCUAACUACGUGCCAGCAGCCGCGGUAAUACGUAGGUGGCAAGCGUUAUCCGGAUUUAUUGGGCGUAAAGCGAGCGCAGGCGGUUUUUUAAGUCUGAUGUGAAAGCCCUCGGCUUAACCGAGGAAGUGCAUCGGAAACUGGGAAACUUGAGUGCAGAAGAGGACAGUGGAACUCCAUGUGUAGCGGUGAAAUGCGUAGAUAUAUGGAAGAACACCAGUGGCGAAGGCGGCUGUCUGGUCUGUAACUGACGCUGAGGCUCGAAAGCAUGGGUAGCGAACAGGAUUAGAUACCCUGGUAGUCCAUGCCGUAAACGAUGAAUGCUAGGUGUUGGAGGGUUUCCGCCCUUCAGUGCCGCAGCUAACGCAUUAAGCAUUCCGCCUGGGGAGUACGACCGCAAGGUUGAAACUCAAAGGAAUUGACGGGGGCCCGCACAAGCGGUGGAGCAUGUGGUUUAAUUCGAAGCAACGCGAAGAACCUUACCAGGUCUUGACAUCUUUUGAUCACCUGAGAGAUCAGGUUUCCCCUUCGGGGGCAAAAUGACAGGUGGUGCAUGGUUGUCGUCAGCUCGUGUCGUGAGAUGUUGGGUUAAGUCCCGCAACGAGCGCAACCCUUAUGACUAGUUGCCAGCAUUUAGUUGGGCACUCUAGUAAGACUGCCGGUGACAAACCGGAGGAAGGUGGGGAUGACGUCAAAUCAUCAUGCCCCUUAUGACCUGGGCUACACACGUGCUACAAUGGAUGGUACAACGAGUUGCGAGACCGCGAGGUCAAGCUAAUCUCUUAAAGCCAUUCUCAGUUCGGACUGUAGGCUGCAACUCGCCUACACGAAGUCGGAAUCGCUAGUAAUCGCGGAUCAGCACGCCGCGGUGAAUACGUUCCCGGGCCUUGUACACACCGCCCGUCACACCAUGAGAGUUUGUAACACCCGAAGCCGGUGGCGUAACCCUUUUAGGGAGCGAGCCGUCUAAGGUGGGACAAAUGAUUAGGGUGA